UGGAAAAUAUCCCAAGGGGAGGAGGAGGAGGCAUGCAUCACUACUCAGCCAUCUGUGCUGCGAAAGGCACUGCUUGCUUUCCAGUUUGCCAGCCUGCUGCUCUGCGCGGUGUCCCUGGGUCUUCUCUACCGUGUCCGAAACAAUGCGAUAAUUAAUUCCGUUGGUUGGAUGAAUCUGGAAACAAUGCUACUGGGAUCCAUUUUUAUUUAUUUCUCGGUCCUAUACAUGCACCUGCUGCCAAAUGCUUGGUGCGGGUCGGCAUUGAUCGACUGGGUGCGUUUUUUUGGGUUCCUCGCUGUGUAUGGGCCCGCUGUGCUGCACCUGUGCAGGUAUGU